GGUGAGGGGCCUGGCUGAGUGGGCAUCGGCUUGAGCGCCUGGAGCUUGCUGGAGAAGAGACUCAUGGGCACCACCGGGCCCACCAUGCAGACUUCAGGGAAAGAGAGCAGCCGGAAUGCGUUUUAAAUCCUGCCUGAGAGCGUGGAUGCUACAGGACUCCUGGCGUGGGGAACCCGGCAUCUGUGUAUGUGCCCGUGGGCAUGUGGUCAGCGAGGCAACCCUCACAGGACCACGAGGCCCUGGUCGGACACAGGCUGCCCGCAGCCCCUUCCCACAGGAGCACCACCAGUAAGGCCUUUACUGUCCCCUUAUCCCUUGCUGUUUCCCCACCGACACCCUGACGCUGAGCAGCCGGAGAGAGUGGAGGAGUGCGAGAGCCGCGUCCACAGCAGCAAUGGCCCUGCAGAGGGGAGGGAAACUGAGGGCAGACUGAAUGGAGACUGUGGGUUCCACUUCAGGGGGCUCGGACACGACAAUCUGAUGGUCUCCCUGUAACUUAGGAAAGACCUGUGUUGUCCUGAGGGGCUGAGGCAAGGACCACCUGCACAGGUAGAUUUCAAGGAUAAACGGGCCAGGCACUUCCAGAGGCCGACCAUCUCCUGCGUGAAGUCAGGAUCCCCACGGCAACUCCUGCAGCAAAUCCGGAGUCUUGACUUCCCGCCCGCAGCAGAGAAGCAGGACGUCAGCAUCCUGCCUGUGUCUCGUGCUUGGGAGAGAGCGGGAUGUAACAGCACCCGGAAGCGUGUUCAUGUGUAGUGUUAGGCAUGUUAAAGUGUGGCAUUAAUGUGUAGAUAUCACUCCUAUAGUUGUUAAACUGCAAGUUUAGCUUGAAUUAAGGGAGUUGGGGGGACCAUUUAACUCAAUUAUGCUAGUUUGGAAAUGUCUUUGUGAGAGUAGGGUCAGCGCGGAUCAGCCACGUGGAAGACUAGGAUACGGGUCACACUUAUCUGUGUUCCUAUGGAAACUAUUUGGGUAUUUGUUUUAUAUGGAUUUUUAUUCACUUUUUAGACAUGCUACUCAAGGGUGCCCCUCAGCUUCUGAGCGAGCAGUUGUAGUUUGUACAAUGGCAGAAUGGGC
rnacentral:lncRNA from 1 species